GGAUGUGAGGGCGAUCUGGCUGCGACAUCUGUCACCCCAUUGAUCGCCAGGGUUGAUUCGGCUGAUCUGGCUGGCUGGGCGGGUGUCCCCCUCCUCCCUCACCGAUCCAUGUGCGUCCCUCCCGAGGCUGUGCGCGCUCGGUCGAAGAGGACGACCUUCCCCGCCCGUGAGGAGAGGACCGGUCUUCGGUCAAGGGUAUAGAGUGGCUGCGCCCCCCUGCUAGAACCUCCAAACAAGCUCUCAAAUGCAAGGGUUAAUAUUUUUGUUAUCCUUUUAUUUUCUUGUUAUGGUUCUCCUAUACAUAGAAGAUAGAACUUAAA
rnacentral:snRNA from 1 species